rnacentral:rRNA from 1 species
UUUCAGAGCCUAAUCGCAUGAGUUAAUGCAUAAGGAACAAAGACGCGCGCUACUCAAAUGCUAUGAUGCAAAUGAGAGGGGUCAAGUCUAUGCUAAAACUUAACAACAUGCAUUUAUGAAUAUAGGCCCUUAGUGAAACGCAAUUAAGCAGACAGAUCACUCCACGAACUAAGAACGGCCAUGCACCACCUAUCACAUAAUCAUGAAAGGACUAGCAUCUUUAACAGAGCAUGCGCGUAUAUCAAACUGUUAAUUAAAACAGCAAUCAACACUGCAAGCUCAUAACGCCUGUCAAUCCUCAGUGUGUCCGGACCCGGUAAGAUUUCCCGCGUUGGGUCAAAUUAAGCCACAUGCUCCACGCGUUCUUGUGGUGCCCUUCCGUCAAUUCCUUCAAGUUUCACACGUGCGU